rnacentral:rRNA from 1 species
GACGAACGCUGGCGGCGUGCUUAACACAUGCCAGUCGAACGGAAAGGCCCUGCUUUUGUGGGGUGCUCGAGUGGCGAACGGGUGAGUAACACGUGAGUAACCUGCCCUUGACUUUGGGAUAACUUCAGGAAACUGGGGCUAAUAACGGAUAGGAGCUCCUGCUGCAUGGUGGGGGUUGGAAAGUUUCGGCGGUUGGGGAUGGACUCGCGGCUUAUCAGCUUGUUGGUGGGGUAGUGGCUUACCAAGGCUUUGACGGGUAGCCGGCCUGAGAGGGUGACCGGCCACAUUGGGACUGAGAUACGGCCCAGACUCCUACGGGAGGCAGCAGUGGGGAAUAUUGCACAAUGGGCGGAAGCCUGAUGCAGCAACGCCGCGUGCGGGAUGACGGCCUUCGGGUUGUAAACCGCUUUCGCCUGUGACGAAGCGUGAGUGACGGUAAUGGGUAAAGAAGCACCGGCUAACUACGUG